CGCGCGCGGCGGCGGCGGGAGCGGGAGCGGGAGCGAGUGAGGAGCCGAUCACUCUAUUUCUUGUCUCUGCACCUCAGAAGGGACGUGCAUGUUUAGGUGACUAACUACAGGAAUAUCAAAAUGCCUAAUCUUGAACAUCCAGCAUACCCAGCAUCUGACCUGCUUCACUUGGAAAGUUUGGUGCCAUGUCGAGAAUCCCAGGUGUCCAUGUUGCUGUCAAUAUUUGGAGAGCGUCAGCAGUUUAGUUUUCCAUCCAUCUUUAUCUAUGGACAUACAUCUAGUGGAAAGACUUAUGUGAUGCAAACUCUUCUAACUACCUUACAGCUUCCUCAUGUGUUUGUGAACUGUAUGGAGUACUUUACAUCACAACUUCUUCUAGAAGAAAUUCUCAUCCAGUUGCAAAGCUCUUCUUCUGACACAGAGCAGGCCUGUCCUGUGCGUUGUGAUACUUUGAAUGACUUUGUUCGUCUGUUUAAACAAGCUGUGGCGAGUCGGGAGCUUCAAGAUCAAACAUUAUACAUUGUUCUGGAUAGAGCAGAACAGCUGAGGGAAAUGGAAGCAAACAUCCUGCCAGCAUUUCUUAGGCUUCAAGAGUUGACUGACAGAAAUGUGACAGUUGUCCUGCUCAGUGAAAUAGUGUGGGAGUUGUUCCGUCCAAACGUUGGAUGCUUUGAGCCAUUCACCAUGUAUUUUCCUGAUUACAGCAUAGGACAUCUGCAGAAGAUCUUGUCUCAGAAUCAUCCCCCAGAAUAUUCUGCAGAUUUCUACUCUGCAUAUAUCAAUAUUUUGCUUGGUGUCUUCUACAUGGUCUGUAGGGACCUGAAAGAACUUCAGCAUCUGGCAGCACUCAAUUUUGCUAAAUACUGUGAACCAGUGGUCAGAGGGGAAGCAAAUGAACGCGACACCCGCAAACUCUGGAAAAAUAUUGAACCUCAUUUGAAGAAGGCAAUGCAGACUGUUUAUCUCCGGGAAAUAUCCAGCUCACAGUGGGAGCGUUUGCAACAUGAUGGUGGAGAGCCUGGGCAGUUAAAAGGACUUUCAGCACAUACCCAUGUGGAACUUCCUUAUUACUCCAAAUUUCUUCUAAUAGCUGCUUACCUUGCCUCCUACAAUCCUGUUAGGACAGAUAAGAGAUUCUUUCUUAAGCAUCAUGGGAAAAUUAGAAAGACCAACUUCAUGAAGAAGCAUGAGAAGACCAGCAAUCACCUUCUUGGGCCAAAGCCAUUUCCCCUGGACAGAUUGUUAGCAAUAUUAUAUAGUAUUGUGGACAACAGAGUUGCUCCAACUGCAAAUAUAUUUUCCCAGAAUGUUUUCAGUGGUGACACCCCACGACUGCACUUCACUGGUACUGCAGCCAUCACUGGAAGAACAAAGACAGUGAAAAAGUAUGCUGAUCACCUCUCUUGUGACACUGCAGCUGUUAUCCAUGGUUGGCCAGAAUGACCAGCUUGAUGGACCCCGAUACAAAUGUACUGUAUCUCUGGACUUCAUCAGAGCUAUUGCCCGGACCGUGAACUUCGACAUAAUAAAGUACUUGUACGAUUUCUUGUGAAAACAAGCUUCACAGCCAUAUGGACACUGUGACAAUGACUAAGGCAAGCUGUGUUCAUCUCUCUACUUAGCUAGCCAGAAAGAAGAGUAUUUUGGCUCUUUUGGAUUUGUCCAAACAGGUGCUGGCCCAGCAUGGAACCCGAUGAAAAUACUCUGAUUGGUCUGGGUGGAUCUGAGCAGAGGACUAUUUACCAGGGACCCUGGAGUAUUUGGAAGCAAUGUGUUAAUUAUAAACAGCAGGGUUUGAGCACAAUCUGUUCUACUCUUAAUGAUGUUAUCUUAACACUGAAAUUGCCUGAAACCCAUUUACUUAGGACUGCAUUUUGCUCUAUGAACUCUCCCCAGUGCUUUGAACAUGGCAGCAGCCGUUGUUUGUAUGCCCAGUCUUUUCACUUCCUCUCCACAGGAAUCUUUGCAAUUGCCUGCCAAAGCAGCUUUUCCUGAGGCCACCAUUUUAAGACAGUGGAGUAGCAAAGUAUAAUAAACAUAAGAACAUAUUUAAAAAUCAAGCUGGUACAAAUUCUUCUUUCUCCUCAGUAGUAUGUAGGCAGUGUUACCCUGUUAUAUGGAGAUCACGAUGAUAGGAAACUCCCAAUUAGUCACCAUACUGUCUUUUUCAGACCAUUCAUAAAUGUUGACUAUGAAUCUAUUUUUACAAAGCUCUAUUUAAAAAAAAAAAAAAAUUCUUAAAGUUUUACCCCUUUCUCAAACUUGAAAUGUUUUAUUUUUGCUUUAACAUUUUAUGGUCCUUUUAUGCUCAUCCAGUUACAUGAAGUGCUAAUUAUAGUGCUGUGUGGAAUUAAUGUACUUUUAAGAUACACACCAUGUAAUGGCUUUUGUAACAGCCUCUGUCCUGAAGAGGAGGAUGGCACAGCUGCCUUUUCAUCAGAAAGGGAGAAAUUCAACAGGUGACAGGGUUUUUCUGCAGCAGUUCCCCAAAAGAGGUGGAAUAGUGAAUAACCAAUGUGAUAUUGUAACAUAAAACUUUAUCCUUGGAAAUACCUGAUAGAAUACACUACAGUUGCAGCUUACCAGUAGAAGAUUCUCAACUUUCGGAGCUUUAAAAUCCCCUAAUCCAGUUGAAGGUUAUUAUCUUCAUGAAUCUGAAGAUUUCUGUAACCCUCAUGAAAACUCCAGGUCCCACAGCCUGUUACUCAGAUGUUUUACUCUUGAGUGCUCCCCUUUGACUGUUUGACAGUAAAAGAUGAUGCCAGGUCCUAAGUUGAACAUUAUGUUUUUUUCAAGGAAAAAUCAUUAGUCUUUCCCCCUUGCUCUUAUAUUAGAAAUGGUCAAAUACCGUGAGCAUGUGUAGUCUUUACUCUUUUUUGUUUCUCUUUUUUUUUUCUUUAUUUGUUUUUAUGUUUUCUUUUUUUGUUGUUUUCUUUUUUUCCCCCCCCAAUUGUGGAUACGUAGCCAUACUUCUGGAUUCAGACCCAAGUGACAAAAGUAUCCUUCUGGCCAAGCUCUGGCUUCCUUCCUCAGGGGAGUGUGAAAGGGCAGCGAUGAGUCAUCUCCGUGAUCUGUUUUCCUUCCUACCGCUGAGCUGGAUCAAACCCUGCACCUGUCCAUGAGGUGGCAACAUUUGUCACACUUACUGAAGUGCUUGGAUGUAAACACAUAGCCUGUUUCAAAAAUGUUUACUACCUGCUUUUGUUUUUACUUAUAAAAAUGCCCAUAAUGUGAACUUUGGGCUAAACUUUACAGUGCCCUUCUAUCCUGGAGCUAGUGCUGGGCUGAGCUCAGCUCUCAUGGAUCUCCUGUAUGACUGCCUGGGGCUGCAGUCUGUAGUGGAAAUAAGUUUUGAGGUAUUCAUAUGUGAACUAGUCCAUGUGAAACAGUAGCAGUAGAUCGUAGGGUUUUGUAAUUUUUGAUCUGGAUAAGAAUUUGAUACAUGAAAUGUGAUGGGACUGAUAAUGAUUUGUUAAGUACUACAAUACUUGAGUCACAAAACUUCGUUUUCAACAACCCAAAUCAUUCCCACCAAAUAGACCAGACCCUCAAAACCCUUCAGCUCCAAAUUUGGAGCACAAAUUAGACAUAAAAUAAGGGUCCUAGAAAUUAAGCAGUGAGAAAACUUGGUGCUGCUGAUACUUUUUUAAUCUAAUUUCUUCUAUACUAGCCUUAUGAGUAUUGGUGAUUAUUUCCAGUGUAAAUCCAAAGAAUAAGGAUACUAAGUUUGUGGAAUGUGGUUAAUUUGGCUGAAAUGAGGUUAACUAGAGAAGGAGCAGUAACUGAGGAUCCGUUUGACAGAACCACUCUCCUUACUUUGAAGACACUUUUUUUGACCUUUCUGAAAGACUCUUAUCAGUGAAAUAAAAUUUAAAGCUGAAUCAGCAGAGUAUGAGAAUGAACAAGGUGACUGAAGUGCAGAUGAUUGAUGUAGGCUAUAACUACGCUGAUGAUGAAUAGUAGGAUUUAUUCUGACAAACUAGAAAUAUUUCUAUAUAGCCAUGUCAAUGAGUUUAUAAAUUACUGCUGAGUUUCUUACUAGAUGCCUUAGCAAUAUUCUGUUCUGAGACCCCAUUUUCAUGGAUGAGGUGUGGCCUCCUUCAGCCUCCCCAGGCCAGGAUUUCACCUCUUCUACAGGUGGUUUUAAGAACUGUGCAAACAAGGUAGAGCAAGACAGUUUAAUCAGAAAUCCUUCAGUACCUUAGUGCUGCAGUAUAUAUUUUUAAAAAUACCCAAUUUUUUUCAUAAUUCCCAAAUCACAAAGCAUUAUAGUAUUGUAAACAUUACAGACUUACAGUGCUUGUCUCCAGUGGCUGAUCUAGACAUUACCAGGAGCUGGGGCUUGUUCUUACAAGGAGAAAGUAAUGGAAAAAGAAAUGAAGCUAUCAUCAGUUGUGAAGAGAUUAGUGCCCUUGAACAGCUCUGACUUCAUCAACAGCUGCAUUUUCAUGCACAUAACAUGGAGAUUUUAUUUUCUAAAAAGGCUUGCAAGGCUGCAUCCAGAUGUAAUACAGUAGUCGAUUCACUCUUCUUGGACAGUGAUUUGUCUUACUCUGGUUCUCACAGAACCUGCUGCUUCUACUGUAACAAUUCCUGUAGCUGUUGGCUCUCAUUUGGGGUGAAUUAAAGAAAUACGUUUUUUAUUUCAGUACCUUUUGAGUUCUGAUGCUUCUAUACACUAUGUAAAAAUACAUUCAUUCUUGCCAUUGGUGAAAUUGUUCCAAUAUCCACCAAGUACCAUUUUGACAAGAUCAUUCAGGUACUGUUUUCCUCUCAUAACUGGAACUGCCAGCCAUGCCAGGAGAAUAGUGUGGAAGACUGGAUUUCCAGCAAGAAUAUAGAAGAUACUACAUGUCUGUGGCCUCUGAGCAAAAUGUACCCAGUUAAGUAUCUCAGGAGUAGAUAUUCCCUCUGCGCCUGUACUGGCAGAGAUGGCAGCGAAGAGUGAGAAAUGGCACGUUCUUGAGGGCUGCCUGGAGGCUGGCAUACUGUGUGUUCUGGUCAGCCCAGACAGUUGAGGAACAGAAGAUUUACUGCAUCCAGAAGUGAAUCCUGCUGGAGGUGAAGUAACUUCUCCAGUUUUCUCAAUGACAGGAUGGCAUAACUUACAAAAGAGCCUUAUCAUUGCUGGUAAAUAUGUAUUGGGAUAAAGAUACAGCUUGAUUAGCAAGUCUAAUCAUAGACAAUACAAAAUUUUUAUGUGUUUGUAGAUACUGGAAUGGCUCCACUAGAAAAUUGAAUGGGAGAUUAAUAGCAAAAACUGUGUUUUUUAUCUCAGCUUCUCUAUGACAUCUUUUUCUAUGAACAGCCUGAUUUGAAUAAACUGUACAAUACUCAGAGGAGGGUAACUUCUUGAUUCUUUAUUUUUGUGCAUGUUUAUUUAAACCAUUUGAAGGAUAAAUCUGAAAACAACACAGAAAUUUUGUGUAUGCCAGCAGAGUUGAAACUGCAGGAGUACAAUCCUUAUUAUGACUGUAUUCAUGUUUUCCUGAAAACUUGUCUUUAAAAAGCCACAGCACAAUGGCAGUGUCUGUGCAAAACAAAAAAUUGAAAAAUAUCAUCAUACUGCUUGUUACUGGACAUUAGCAAUAUAUCAGUCAUGUAUUUGGAUAGCCCAGUCUCCACGCAGGUGUCUGAAGCUCAGAAGUAUGGUGUUAAAGUAAGACCAACACUGUCAAGCAGCCCAUGGAUGGAGGUGUUUUCAUGCUGCUGAGCAAGUGAAUGUCUGACUGUAAGCAGGGAGUCUUAGAGUGAGAACAUGAUGUCCAAAGUACCACAGGCAGACUUAAUGUUUGAAGUGUUCUAGUGUGUUGUACUCCUCCUCUGCCGGUGACCACUCCAUUUUUCUAAAGCAGCAGAAGUAUCCCUAACUAUUUCUUUCAUUUGGUUCAAACUCCAUUUGGUAAUAAAUCAUUUCCAUUGGUGUGUUGCAGUUGCCAAAAAGGCUUUGCUCUACAGCUCUUCCAAGGGAGUUAGCACCACCAGGGAGCAAAGUACUGAAAGAAAAUACAUGUUCACUGCCUACCGUUUGGGUAGGCAUCUGGGCAACUCCAGUAGGGAAACAGGCUGGGCUUUCCUCUGAGAUGAAGUUGUGGAUAAACUUGCCCUUUUGACACAUUUGAUGUUUUGAAAUAUCCAGAACUCUACCAGACUUCUGUAUUCCUCUCUGUUCUUCCUCUACCCUCCCACUACAAUUCCAUGUUAUUUUUUGAAAUGGUUCUUGCAGAGAUCCGCACCAGAAGCACAGCCAGCUCCUGGGCUUGACAUCUCCCUGGGGAUCCCCCACAAGUGAGCAGAGCAGGAAGGCUGCUGUGGGCUGUCUGUCCCCCCAUGUUGCAGCUGUGCUUUUUUCAACUAACCUGUUGCCACAUACUGCCUUCUGUCCUGCCAAGACUUGUUUGAAUAUUUGGAGAGGGAUCUGUUGUGUACUUGAGGGCAGGUGUUCGGCUUCAGCGCGGUCCUUUUCCAAAACCUGGUGCAGUGUGUUGAACCAUGAAUGCUGUAUUGUCAUCUUGUACUCAGUGUUCAUAUUUCAUAUUUGUUCAGUUUUGAUUAAAUGCUGAUGAAAAGCCCA